rnacentral:lncRNA from 1 species
CUCAGCUCAUUGAUUGAUUGAUUGGGUGAAAGGAUCAUGGAGAGGAUGCCAUCCAGUUGGAGAUAUGGUGUGAGCUGAAAAUCCCAGAGUAAAUGUCCUUUCCAGGACUUCAGUGAGAAAGCUGGGCACACAGCCGUGAAAUGGCUGUGAAUAGGCUGCUUUCCUAGAGCAAAGGGUAAGUGCGGUAAAACGGAAAGGGCGUUGUUCCCAAUUCCUGGAUUAUUAAAACAAAAGUGGGAUAUAUUGGGAAAAGAGUAGGAGGCUGAAUUAUCUGGAUAAUUACAAAACUGUUCCCUUGAAUCCCCGAUUUUUCUCCUUCACUGCGGGGAUCACAGGCUUCAGAAACACUGAGGGGAAUGUCCCCAGAGAAGAGCCCCUCCCGUCUCCCCUUCUCCCUCAGGUCGUCACUUUGCCUCCUUAACCCCACUCCCACUCCUCAAAGAAAGAAGGUGGUGUUGGAGGAAGACUGGAGGGGGAGCCCCCUAUCUGAGGUCCCCAAACUGUCUUCAGAGAAAGGGAGGAGCAGCCUCAGCUUGGCGUCUGGGGCCCUGUUUCAUCCUUGGGGCUGGCAGAGCAGUCCCCGAUAGCAGCAGGAAUGGAGAACAUGGGCCGAAGGAGGAGACAAUUUAGGCCUGUUUCCCUGGCUGAUUCCGCUGUGUUAACAGCUGAGCCUAGGUUUGAACCUGGUUCCCCCUGUGCUGGUGCAGAGCUGUUUCCCCUGGGAUAUAUGUCUCCAGUGUCACUGCC